rnacentral:rRNA from 1 species
ACGGGUGAGUAACGCGUGGGAAUCUACCGUACCCUACGGAAUAGCUCUGGGAAACUGGAAGUAAUACCGUAUACGCCCUAACGGGGAAAGAUUUAUCGGGGUAUGAUGAGCCCGCGUUGGAUUAGCUAGUUGGUGGGGUAAAGGCCUACCAAGGCGACGAUCCAUAGCUGGUCUGAGAGGAUGAUCAGCCACAUUGGGACUGAGACACGGCCCAAACUCCUACGGGAGGCAGCAGUGGGGAAUAUUGGACAAUGGGCGCAAGCCUGAUCCAGCCAUGCCGCGUGAGUGAUGAAGGUCUUAGGAUUGUAAAGCUCUUUCAACGGUGAAGAUAAUGACGGUAACCGUAGAAGAAGCCCCGGCUAACUUCGUGCCAGCAGCCGCGGUAAUACGAAGGGGGCUAGCGUUGUUCGGAAUUACUGGGCGUAAAGCGCAUGUAGGCGGGUAUUUAAGUCAGGGGUGAAAUCCCGCAGCUCAACUGCGGAACUGCCUUUGAUACUGGGUAUCUUGAGUAUGGAAGAGGUAAGUGGAAUUGCGAGUGUAGAGGUGAAAUUCGUAGA